GUCUACUCUGAAAUGAUUUUUCUAACUUGUCACUUAUUGUUCAUAUUAUUAAAUUCUAAAGCUAUUUAUUUAGCCUCACUAAAUCUAAGCUUUGUAAAGCUAUUCUUGCCGCAACUUGUCAAGUUUGUAAACAAUUGUCCUCCUAAUUGGCUCAUUUGAGCUAAUCUUAUAUUUAUGAUGAUAAAAAAAAAAAAAUCUAAGCUUUCAAAAAUUUAUUAUGCAAACAUUGUUUUCCCACAUUGGAAGCCAAUAAUUUUUAAUCAAUCUGUAAAUAAAAUAAAUCGGAAAAAAAUAUUCUAAAAUUAAUCUAUUCGAUUUGUUGUCAAAAAAAAAAAAGAAGAAAAAAUAUUUAACUUCUUUAUCUGAAAGUUUCAAAAUAUUUAUUGAAAGUUUGACUCUACUAUAUAAAAGAGUUU
rnacentral:lncRNA from 1 species